CGGCACUGUGGCCCGGCAGGGGGUUGCAGGGUUUGCAAAGGCCUGGGAUCCCGGGUUCGCCGCCUGGAUUGACGGC
rnacentral:tRNA from 1 species